AAAACAAGAAAAAGUUACUGAAAACUAUCCAGAAAUGAGAUCUUACCUCUCCUGGGUUACACAUACAGCAAAAGAAUGAGUUGCAGGGUCUAUAUAGAUUGCCAAAGAGUUUCUUAUGGCCAUAUUGUCUCCUUUUGCAGUAUGCAAGAAAAAUAAAAGAGAAGAAAAGAUCUUCAGAGAGGAGAGAACUGACUGGGAGCUGGGGAGGACUGCAGCUUGGCUGGUUUUCAAAGAUGUUUUCGGCGAGCUGUUUCUCCUAUCUUGAGCUAACCAAAUUGAGCAGGAAAGCACUGCUGAUCGUAACC